CUUUGCUAUAUAAAGCUAUAAUUUUCUUGCUCCAGGUAGGGGAUUUUCCCCUCCCCAAUUAUGGGCAGAGAUUCCCCUCUUAAAGGUCUUGUAGGAUGAAGAAGUGUCUCCCUUCAACUGCCCCUUUUUCUCCCACAUAACCUGAAACCCAAGCCCUUAUUUGAGGAACCAAGAUUUGCUUAGUCAUUUAAACUAUCCACCACAAAUAGGAUUCCUAAGAGUGAUUUACUGCUCACAAAUGUAUCAGCAAAGUGCUUAUUUACAGAUACCAGAUUUUUUUCAUUAAUAAGCCCAGUUGUUUAGGAAAGGUUUUCACAAUAUUUGUUCCUUUUACAGUGAGUGUGGCGCUGUGAGAUGACAAUUUCCUCCACAUAAGCUGAGAUCAAAUUACCCCACCCAGAUAAACUAACAGUAACUGUGACUCCAACAGCCAAAACAGCUUUUCUUCUCUAAGGGGAAAGCAUCCAUAUUUUAAGUUUGUAUUGCAUCCCAUCAGAUAAUAUUAGAUCUUAUAAUCUAGUGCGGUACUUACAAUACCUAUAAAUCACUCAAUCUGACAUAAAUGCAGAGAAUAUUCAUUCUUUUCUUUGAGCAGGAUGCAAUCAUGCCCUAAUACUGCCUUAAAACCAGUGAGGAGUCAUAUCCAAUAACUAUCCCAAUUAUCUCUCAGUGCAAUGUUUUCCACCUGCAAGGAAUGAUUAUGUGUCAGUAACGAUGAUAAAGUCCUUAAAGAGAUGUUGAUGCCUCAUGGAAAAAUUUGAAAGACAUAUCGUUUAGUGAGACUUCUGCUUAUAGACUGCAUCAUGUAUAUCUGAGAGACUUCACAAUGACCUUGGGGAAGUUUUGUAACUGUUCUGUACCCUACUGAAAUGUGGAGACAAUGCUUGUAUGAGUGCUUUUUUGCUUAAUCUUCAAGAACAAUGUCCUUUCCUGGCGGGUGAUACAUCGAAACCGCAAGUGCCAGAGGGGAAAAAAACCUGCCACUGAAAUGCGUGGAGAUAUGAAUGACAGACUGUUCACUUAACUUAUACAUUCAAAAAUAUCUACGUUGUCCUUCCGAGAGUGAAAUGGCUGCUUUGACAUAAUUGUGGUCUCUUAUAUGAUGUUAAUCCAUAGUGUCGAAGCCAUUAUAAUUCUAGUUCAGAUGUGCAUAUUUUAAAAAAGAAUUCUAAGAAAAAGUUAUU